ensembl:lncRNA
AUACAAAAUAUGAGUAACUGUAUUCCGUUACAGUUACCGUUUAAAAAGGUGGUAUUCAGAAUACAGUUACUUUGUUGAAAUAAAUGGAAUACACGGCGGUACUUUCCUGUUUCAUAUUGUCGCGGGUCAGGAUUGUUUGGGUUUGUUUGACAGCUACGUUCUGUUGUUCCAGGCGGCAGCGUUACGGUUGCCAUGGUUACAGGGUGACGCGCUCUCUCUCUGCGUGUUUCCUGGGUGAGAGAGCGCUUUUUUGUUGUUGUUGUUGUGCUAAGCUAAAAGGCAGAAUGCUACAGGCAUAGCUCUAAAGCAUGUAGCCUCAUGGGCAGUGUAGUCCGUGCUGCAGCGAGAAUGGACUGCCAUACACGUGAUGUGUCUGUGAGCGAGGGAGGGAGAGAAAGGAAAAGUCCGAGCUGUCACGGAGCAAAAACGGGAGCUGGAAGCAUGUAAAUAUAAUAAUAACCACAGCAACCAAGAAGAGUGCCUGAGGAGCCCAGCUAAGGACAAGAAGUGUGAGGAAAGAUAAGUACCAGUCCCCAGUAUUUCAUGUAAUUAAUACAACUAAGUUGAAGUUUUACACAGCAACAAUCAAGUUUGUUCCAGUUUGCUAAUUACCUACUGAUAAUCAAAGUAGUGCCUACUGUUGUACAGACAGAAAAAAGCCAGUCAUAAAAUGAUGCUGGAACACUAAACCAAGAAUUUAUCUGAUGUUGUGAAUAUUAACUAAAAGGACUAACACAAAUUAUUUUCACCCAAUGACAAAGACAGGCAAAAUGCAGAUCACUGUUAUUCUAAAGUUUAUAGUGUUUGCUGAAAGACUAUGUGACACUGGUUAGCCUACAAGGACUUUUAGAAAGAAAAUGCAUUUUUGUUCACUGGUGAUAUGUUAUCAGUAUCAUUAAGACUAUGCUGAUGACCUUUUACAUACAAAAAUAUUCAAUAAGAACUGGUUUUAAUCCAUCAUUCAUUGAAACUAUGGUCAUUUCAUCUCAUAACUGAUUGAGUUAUGAGAUUCCUUUCCUGAAAAUUUAGGUCUAAGAAAAAUAGCCUUUAGUCUUUAAGUCAUGGCUGUACUUGCCUAUACAGGUCCUUCUCAAAAAAUCAGCAUAUUGUGAUAAAGUUCAUUAUUUUCUGCAAUGUACAUUAGACUUUCAUAUAUUCUAGAUCC